GACAGAGGGGGCAAGCGUUGCUCGGAAUCACUGGGCGUAAAGGGCGCGUAGGCGGGAUGGCAAGUCAGUCGUGAAAUCCCCCGGCUCAACCGGGGAACGGGCGCCGAUACGACCGCCCUGGAGGGACGUAGGGGGACCUGGAACUUCCGGUGGAGCGGUGAAAUGCGUUGAGAUCGGAAGGAACGCCCGUGGCGAAAGCGAGGUCCUGGACGUCUGCUGACGCUGAGACGCGAAAGCCAGGGGAGCGAACGGG
rnacentral:rRNA from 1 species